GACGAACCCGUCCUAACGUUGUUCGGAAUCACUGGGCUUAAAGGGCGCGUAGGCGGGCCAUCAAGUCCGGGGUGAAAUACUUCGGCUUAACCGGAGAACUGCCUUGGAUACUGAUGGUCUAGAGGGAGGUAGGGGUCUGUGGAACUUCCGGUGGAGCGGUGAAAUGCGUUGAUAUCGGAAGGAACGCCGGUGGCGAAAGCGACGGACUGGACCUCUUCUGACGCUGAGGCGCGAAAGCCAGGGGAGCAAGCGGGAUUAGAAACCCGUGUC
rnacentral:rRNA from 1 species